GGGUGCGAUCAUACCAGUACUAAUGCACUGGAUCCCAUCAGAACUCCGCAGUUAAACGUGCUUGGACGAGAGUAGUACUAGGAUGGGUGAUCUCCUGGGAAGUCCUCGUGUGCACCCU
rnacentral:rRNA from 1 species